rnacentral:RNase_P_RNA from 1 species
UGAGACCUCUUGAUGGCCGCGACCCCACCUUGGUGGGGUUGAGGAACUUCCGGGCUCCGCAGAGCACGAUGGCGGAUAACGUCCGCCCAGGGUGACCUGAGAGAUAGCGCAGCAGAGAAUAGACCGCCUGACCGGCUUUUGCCUGGUCAGGUAAGGGUGAAACGGCGGUGUAAGAGACCACCGGGCCGCUGGUAACAGUCGGCCGCAUGGCAAGCCUCAUCGGGAGCAAGGCCAAGCAGAAGGCACUAAGGGCUGCUCGCCCGAGCCUUCGGGUAGGCUGCUAGAGCCUGGCGGCAACGUCAGGUCGAGAUGGAUGGCCAUCCGUGUGGAAACACACGACAGAACCCGGGGUAGAAGAGGUCUCACCUC